ACCAAUUGGACCCGGGGGCGGUACCCGGCGCCUCCACCAAAAUAUAAUAAAAUAAAGAUUAUAUUUUCAUGGGGGCGAAACAGGAUCGACAAGGGUGUAAAGAUUGCUCUUUUACUCGGCAUGGUACCACCGUUAUCGGACUAAAUGAGUAGUUGCAAAUGACAACUAUGCGGAAGCACGUCUCAUCGCUGCUUAAGCGAUGCGAAAGCUUCAAACUAAGUCUUAAACCGUCGCAGGUCUAAGCGGGGUUCGAAGG
rnacentral:tmRNA from 1 species